rnacentral:lncRNA from 1 species
CGGAAAAUGAGUGAAUCUUUCUCUUCCAACUGUGCAAAAGAGGUUGAUACCUCCAUAAGCUUCAAGAGAUCUGACUCUCAAAUGCACAAUGCCCUAAAAUCUCUGGAUCUAAGCGAUAGUUCAGAAGAAAGGGCUUCAGAAGCUUCGACUCAAGCAUCUCCUCUUGUUUUUGAAACCGUCUUGUUUCGUUUUCAAGAAAUGCUUGUAGCUCAACUUAGCCAGCUAAAGUCAUCCUUGGAUGAUCAAUCAAAAAGGCUAAGUCGACUUGAAGAAAGAGUUGACAGUUGGAUCUCUCUCUCGGAGAUCCUUACAAAAGGCGUGGAAGACUCUAAUAGCUACUCUAACUCGGAGUCAUAGGAGUCUCUUCAAAAGCAGCGUCCUUUUGUGUCUCUUUUUCUUUUUCUUUUCUUGUUUUUUUUAUCAUCCUGUUUUAUUUUGUCUUGGGCUUGAUCUGUAAAUUUGGAAACACUACUCGUGACCAAAUCAUCAAGCACCAAAUCUUUCUGAUGACUAAAAACAAAAGGUCAAAAGCUUUUUGACCUAAGU